rfam:Gossypium hirsutum cultivar TM-1 chromosome 15, whole genome shotgun sequence
UAUUAGAAAAUUCAUCCAUUUCUACUAUUUAAAAUUGGUGUGAUUGCCAAAAUAACCAGACAGUUACAACUGGAAUGCCACACGUACCUCAUUUUGGCAUACAUGGAAUAAUUUUUAAGAGUAGAAAUUGAUGUAAUUUUUAAGA